UUAUGGCUCAGGAUGAACGCUAGCGGCAGGCUUAACACAUGCAAGUCGAGGGGCAUCGGGAGUAGCAAUACUUGCCGGCGACCGGCGCAAGGGUGCGUAACGCGUGAGCAACAUGCCCGUAUCAGGGGGGAUAAUCCAUGGAAACGUGGUCUAAUACCCCAUAGUAAUUAUGUAAGGCAUCUUAUAUAAUUUAAAGCUUUGGUGGAUACGGAUUGGCUCGCGUGACAUUAGCUAGAUGGUAAGGUAACGGCUUACCAUGGCUACGAUGUCUAGGGGUUCUGAGAGGAAGGCCCCCCACACUGGAACUGAGACACGGUCCAGACUCCUACGGGAGGCAGCAGUGAGGAAUAUUGGACAAUGGAUGGAAAUCUGAUCCAGCCAUGCCGCGUGCAAGGAAGACGGCCCUAUGGGUUGUAAACUGCUUUUGUAUGGGAGCAAUAAGGGCUACGCGUAGUCCGAUGAGAGUACCAUACGAAUAAGCACCGGCUAACUCCGUGCCAGCCGCCGC
rnacentral:rRNA from 1 species